CCAACUGUCAUUUUCUGGGGGUGGGGGCUGGGCAGAAGAAAAUGGAGGGGCGCAGCUUCACCCCUUGCUCAGCUGCAGCCUUUUCAGAGUCAAGGUCUCCAGAGGGCAUUCCUCAACCCCAAACAUUGUUUGUUUAAAUUGUACCAAGGUCUCCAGAGGUGAACUCCCAACUCCAUUUAUAUUUAUUUGCUUUUGUAAAAAUAGUGUGUGUGGGGAGAACCUCAGUGGUUUACAAAGAAAGAAAAAACGAUGAAAUUAUUGCUAACAAUCUUUGUUGUUGUUGUUUAGUUGUGUUCGCCUCUUCGUGACCCCAUGGACCAGAGCAUGCCAGGCACUCCUGUCUUCCACUGCCUCCCGCAGUUUGGUCAGACUCAUGCUGGUAGCUUCGAGAACACUGUCCCACCAUCUCGUCCUCUGCCGUCCCCUUCUCCUUGUGCCCUCCAUCUUUCCCAACAUCAGGGUCUUUUCCAGGAGUCUUCUCUUCUCAUGAGGUGGCCAAAGUACUGGAGCCUCAGCUUCAGGAUCUGUCCUUCCAGUGAGCACUUAGGGCUGAUUUCCUUAAGAAUGGAUCAGGUUUGAUCUUCUUGCAGUCCAUGGGACUCUCAAGAGUCUCCUCCAGCACCAUAAUUCAAAAGCAUCAAUUCUUCGGCGAUCAGCCUUCUUUAUGGUCCAGCUCUCACUUCCAUACAUUACUACUGGGAAAACCAUAGCUUUAACUAUAUGGACCUUUGUUGGCAAGGUGAUGUCUCUGCUUUUUUAAGAUGCUGUCUAGGUUUGUCAUUGCUUUUCUCCCAAGAAGCAGGCGUCUUUUAAUUUCGUGACUGCUGUCACCAUCUGCAGUGAUUAUGGAGCCCAAGAAAGUAAAAUCUCUCACUGCCUCCAUUUCUUCCCCUUCUAUUUGCCAGGAGGUGAUGGGCCCAGUGGCCAUGAUCUUCGUUUUUUUGAUGUUGAGCUUCAGACCAUAUUUUGUGCUCUCCUCUUUCACCCUCAUUAAAAGGUUCUUUAAUUCCUCCUCGCUUUCUGCCAUCAAGGUCGUGUCAUCUGCAUAUCUGAGUUGUUGAUAUUUCUUCCGGCAAUCUUAAUUCCGGCUUGGGAUUCAUCCAGCCCAGCCUUUACAGCCAUAAUUUAAAACACACAAAGUCAAAAACUACAACAGAACAUCAGUUUUAAUAAGGACAAACAAUAGGUUUUGGUCACAGGACAGUUGCAAGAUGGAAUUUUCUAGUGCAACUUCAUGCUUUUAAACAAAGGCUGUCAAGGCUGGACAUUUUUAGUUCUAAAGGUAAAUGUUUUGGAAACCAUUCAUGGAAACUAUUUAGCAAUCUGAGCUUCUACAGGUUUUUCAGGGCUUUGGUGUGUUUUAGGGAUAAACAAUGUUAUUUUUACAAAGCAACGCAGUAUUUACAUAGAAUAUUUUGGGUGGCUCUAAUCCUUCUGUUGUUGUUUAGCUGCUAAAUUGCAGGCUGGUGUUACAUGGAUUAUUUUAAAAGAAACCACAGGAGUAUCAUGUUCCCGAUGGUCACCAAGCUGGUUUUCUUUGCAUAAUACCGAAAGCAGCAAUAGUUGUAAAACAUGAUUACAAUGACACAAUCCCAGUUCAGGGGUGUUGGGGCACUUAAUCAAGUCAGCCUAACAUAAUUUGGGCUAAUUAAUUAAGUCAGCCUAACAUAAUUUGGGGGUGCAAGACCUUUUUUUGCUGCGGGCAUUUGGAAGUUGAAACAUCAAAGCAAUAUUUAGCUAUGAAAAUAAUAGCUCAAAGGUGCUGAUGUGUACCAGCAAUGGAAAUAUGGAACAGAGCAGAGGAAUACAUUGGUACUAGGGAGGGCCAAGCAACCUCAUUUAGAGGGAUAGCUUGCAAUGGAGCUACGUGUCCUUUUCAUGAGUGCAGGGUUGAGCCAAGAAGAGUGGAAACAGCUGCUACAAACCAGGAUGUUGAGAGGCAUUGCUUCUCACUCUUUGGGCAGAUACCUCUCCUGUUGGGAAAUGGCCUUGAAGGCCCUUAAAUCUAGGGCCUGGGUGGGGAUUCUUUAAUGGACAAUUAUUUAGUUACGUAAAACUAAUUUCUAGCCCACUUUUUUUCUAGACAGAUACUGCGGAGAGUAAACAGUAAUAUAAGGGAGGAGUUUGAUGCAGUGAUACGGAGAUCGUGGUCUGAUGGGGCAAUGUCCCCUCUCUUCUUCCAUGGCGCUGAGCCUCUUUGGCUUGCCGAUCAGAGUUGGCAGUCCGAAUCCGCGCAACAGGGUGAGCUCUCAUUGUUCUUUCCCAGCUUCUGCCAACCUAGCAGUUUGAAAGCACGCCAGUGCAAGUAGAUAAAUAGGUACCACUGCAGCGGGGAGGUAAACAGCGUUUCCGUGUGCUCUGGUUUCCGUCACGGUGUGCCAUUGCGCCAGAAGCUGUUUAGUCCUGCUGGCCACAUGACCCGGAAAGCUGUCUGUGGACAAACGCCGGCUCCCUCGUCCUGAAGCAAGAUGAACGCUGCAACCCCAUAGUCGCCUUUGACUGGAUUUAACCCUCCAGGGGUCCUUUACCUAUAUUUUUUUUUACCUCUAGCCAAUAGGUGGGGGUCACAGGGGGAAAGCCCUGCUGUUCUAACAGAAGUUCUUGUGUGGGUUUCCACUAGGAAGUGGCUCAUCAGCUGAAUACAGUGGUACCUCUGGUUAAGUACUUAAUUCGUUCCGGAGGUCCGUACUUACGGUAACCUGAAACUGUUCUUAACCUGAAGCACCACUUUAGCUAAUGGGGCCUCCUGCUGCUGCCACGCCGCCGGAGCCCAAUUUCUGUUCUCAUCCUGAAGCAAAGUUCUUAACCUGAAGCACUAUUUCUGGGUUAGCGGAGUCUGUAACCUGAAGCGUGUGUAACCUGAGGUACCACUGUACAACCCACAGUAAUCAACAACCAAGACACAUGAUACUUUUUCUCAUUUCUUUCUUUUAGUCAGUGCUGUUUUUCUAGAAAAAGAGAUGCCGGAACUCACCAUGAACACCUCCCUCAUUUUCUUAGAAUGGCAAUGGCACCCACUUGAGAGGUGCCGGAACUGAGUUCCUGGAAGUUCCCCCUGGGGGAAAUCCCUGCUUUUAAUUAUGUUUGUUAAUCUUUGUCCCCCAUCUCAACGUAAGUAUGUAUCUCUGUGUUGAAUACUGAGUAUAUAUAAAUUUUAAAACAUUAAAAACACAUAAGACAAAGAAAAGGCAGUAAGAAAUUUCAAAAGUACCGCAAUAGCUGCGAGAACAUUGUUAGCGAAGAAUUGGAAGAAACAAAAUUUACCAACUAUCGAAGAAUGGCAGAUAAUAAUAAUAAUAAUAAUAAUAAUAAUAAUAAUAAUAAUAAUAAUUUAUUUAUACCCCGGCCAUCUGGCUGGGCUUCCCCAGCCACUCUGAUGAAGAUGAUGGACUAUAUGGAACUUGCCGAACUGACCGGGAGACUCCGAGACCAGAGAUAAGAGAAGGUGGAAGAAGACUGGAAGAAGUUUAAGGAAUAUUUGAAAAAAUAUGUUAAUAUUUAAACCUUAGAAUAGCUUUGGAAGGGGACAUAGGCUGUAGGGUUAGAAGUAGAAGAUAGGGUAUUUAAAAAUAGUAUUAUUUGUAAGUGAUAAAAUGUGAAGUUAUUUUAAGUAUGAUUUUAAAAAAAGAUGGUUAGAAAUUAUGAUAUAUGUAAACUGCUAAAGAUGAAGUAAAAUGAAAAUCAGAUAGGGUGGGACUUGGGGAAGCCAACUUAACAAUGUUUAGAAAAAUAAGGAUAUGACAAGAAUUUGUUUGUAUUAUUUGUCUUCUCUGUCUGUGUUUUUUAUUUGUGUUAUAAAAUGAUUUUAAAAAAUUUGGGGGAAAAAAGAGAAAUUUCAAGAGUACCAGUGGAGGCUGGUCGAUUAGGGCGAAUGGGACACUGCCCCAGCAACCUCAGCCUGCCUUUUUACUUCCUUCAAGUCCUAGAAUCAUAGAGUAGGAAGAGAUCCCAAAAGUCAACUAAUCCAAUCCCCUGCAAUCCUUCCCACAGCCGUCCCUGGGUUUGCGUGAACCACUAACCUUCUGGUUAACAGCCAGAUGCACUGACCCAUUGUGGGGGUGCUACUGCCUGUUGGCUUCCUCCUCCUUAGUCCCUUGUGCAACUCAGCAGAGAGGAGGCUGGUGAGAAAACUGUAAUUAGUUGGCUCUGCCUGUUAGUGGCUUUGGCUCUGCACACUGUUGGGCUUCCUGCCUUCCGCCCUACUAGUCCCAAUGGGAACCAGCCAGCACAGAAGUGAACAACCAUCUUUUUAAAACAAGCACCAACCUUAAGGUUACCAGAGUUAGGUGAUAAUGUCAUAACUGGAGGAGUCUUGCAACUCCUAAGCUGCUUGGCUGGCGAGAUGGCAGCUGUCCAACAAACAAAGUUACCAAUCACAGCUUUGCCCAAUCAAGAGCCUAAUGUUAUAGCACUACCGGCUAUAGUGGAAACUCCUGUAACUUCAAACUAUUCAUUAUCACGUGUGAGAGCCAAAAGGAGCUACUUACUAUGUGAGGCUUAAUCAAGGAAAAUGAAAACCCAGGCAUCACUGAUUAUUUAUUUAAUAUAUUCCUGUAGAACAUCCAAUAGCAUACGAAAUGUGGGCAAUUCGCAUAAAUAGAAGAUUGAAAUGUAAUAUUAAAAUACAAAACACUAAGGAAACCAAAUGUGAUGUGUUUUCCUUACCAAUGGCAAAUGCUACCCUGGGGUUAUCAGUCAAUAUACAUUUUUAGCUAAUGGUGUAUAUUGAACAUUUAGUUAUGACUUAUCGCAAUUGCAGUGCAAAGCCUCCAUCCCAUUUUGUGUGCAAGGGAACUCUCCUUCAUUGCAGUGAGAUAAGAGAGACUGGUUGGAAUGAAAGCAACACUAACAGCAUAGCCCUUGCCAUUUCUUCUCAGAAGUCAGUCCCAUUUAAUUCAAUGGGUCUUACUCACAGGUAAGUAGGCUUAGGACAGCUGUCAGACAUGUCACCAUUUUAUUGAACACGUAAGGUGAGAGCCAACCAAGUCAGAAUAGACUCACUGAAAUGCAAGAUACUUUACAUUCCAGUGGGUCUACUCUGAGUAUGACUUACCUUGGCUAUCACACAUUAUCUCCAUGAUUCAGAUAAUGGCUCCAGCAUUGCAACUGCUGUAUUUGAAAAAAACAUAAUUACCAUUAAUGGGAACUGAGUUCAUUGGUCAUUGACUGUGCUUCACACUGGUAAAGUCUAACAGGCCAUGUCUGUGCUUCAAAAUGAACUGUGUUAUGACUUCACCCAGCACAGCAUAGGAAGAUUAUCACCUCUGAUAUAUCACCGAGGAUAAUAACAUAAGUUGAAGACACUCCUCCAGUGAGCAAAAUAAAUAGAUUCAUAUUAAACUCUCCCUCAAGCCAGAGAAACUUGACUGAGCAACCCAAAGACUUGCUGUAAGGAAAGACAGGUAUGUUUAGGGAGGUGGCAGAAAUAAUGUUAGUCUCACUUGGAACAAUGCCAGCUCUACACAUGAUAUUUAAUUAGAUUUAAGAUUUAAGCUGUGAUAUGACCUGUGUGGGUUUACCCUCCCAGCAUAUUUUUAAAAUUAGUGUGGGAUGAUUCAGAAGGAAACCAUGCCUGUUCUUACAAGGAAAAGGAUUUGGUUUCAUCAGUGUGAUUCCGUGUACAAUAAGAGAGUUGCAGGCCACCAAGGAAAAGGAAAUUGGCAAAAAUUUCAUGGGAAGCCAAACCAUUUUUUUCUGCAUAAAAGGCAUGCCCAUAAAUGGCAGAAGUGCUAGUUAUGCCACAAUUGUAUUCUGAAUAAUCCAAGCAUUCAAAAAAUAAAUAAAUUAUGGUAAGGGUUAUUUACAAUCACAAAGUAGUCAUUCUGAUUGAACAGUCUGGUUUCCAAAUAUGCGUUAACAAGCAGGCAAAUUACCCAGGGGCAUGACUCAGAGUGGGAUAAUUCAAGAUGAUAAAAUACCCAUUAACUGAAAACAAAAGGAAUAAUUACAACUCAUUUGGGGAAUUAACCAUUUUGCUAAAAAACAAGGACGGAUCUAAAAACCAUGUGAAGGACUCUUAUAAUUGGCUGAGUUAAGAUAGCUUUAAUUCUUCUUGAGCAGAAGACACAGCUGUGGAGUAAAAAACAGGCAGCCCUCAUGUGGAUUAUCAUAUGUGACCAUGUUGUACAUGUAUUCUGUGGCCACACAGUGUUGUUGCAUCUUGGUGUACAUGUAAUUCUCAUGUGGAAUCUCAUGUGCAAUUAUUUAUACAAGGGUUACAUGCUUUGUCCUACAUAAAAGUAUUUUCUAUGUAACACUGACAUGGCCUUCAGGCCUACUUUAUGCAUUGUCCCUCUGCCUCUGAAAGACCUCUCUGUGUACAUGUUCAGAAGACAAUGUAAAUGCCAUAUCAUUAUGAAUACUGUACAGUACAUGAAUUUGAGAAGCUAACGCAAGUGGUGGUUUCUUGACAUGGCAUACCUGUCAACUUUCAGAUUUGAAAAUAAGGGAUCAGCAGCCUCACCUGUCCUGGGGACAGUUAACGGGAUAUGUAACAAUCCGGGAUAGCAGCGGGAAGCAGCGGGAAACGGCGCUGGAAUAAGGGAAUUUCCCGCAAAAAAGGGGAAGGUUGACAGCUUUGGCACAUGGUGAAAAAUCUGAGCCUUUCCCCCCCCAAAUAUAUGACCAAGUAUAUACAGUACUUUUUCCAGUAGGAAGAUUAAUGUAGAACUCAAAGCAAAACUAGGGAGUAAUUUUUUUAAAAAUGGAUGUUAUUUAAACUGUACAACAAAAUAAUAAGAACACAUAAUUAUAAUUAUAAUUAUCCAUGGAUUGCAAUGAUCUCUAAUAGAAUUUCAUACACAAAGAUCACUUCUAUACUAUUUAAUAUAUUUCUGAAAAUCUCAGUAUGUUUAUAUUUCCAUAUGUCGAGAGGCAAUCUUUCUUUAAUUACAUCUCCAAGAUCUACUUGAAGAUCUACCUGUACUGGUUUCUCUCCCCACCCCCCACCCAAAUAUGGGGGUAAUAUCACUGGAAUUGAAUAAAGGCUCCCCUUCAACUGUGUAUCUAAUGAAGAUCUCAGACUUCUUCUACAUACAUGAGCCUAUUGCUCAGCCUAUUCUAAGCUGUAUAUCUUUAUCCCAAUGGCUUUACAUUUCAGUGCCAAACUACAUGUUACGAGAAGUAUGCACUUAAACUGGAUAUUUUUAUUUUGAAGAAAGAACCCCAAUGAACUUGGGGGUCUGUGCCAAUUUUCUGCUGAACCUCCUCCCAUAGCUACUUUGCCCUCAAAGGGACUGUUUGGAGUAAACAAGACUUUCUGGGGUAAAUAGCACCUAGUUCAGUGAUUUUUGGCAGGAUACCAACCUGGAACAGAAACACAUUCCAGAAUGGGGCCCUGUGGCUGUUUUUUCUUCAAAAUAAAAACUUCCCAUUUGUCACAUCUGGUUUGGGACUUUGCUUCUUAGGCCCAAGUGAUUCUUAGUUUAAAGGGGGGCAGUUGUAUUGAACAAAAUAUACACAGUUGUUAAAUAUGUUUUUGUGUAAGAACAAAUCCUCUUCCCCCGAGCUCCUGACCUGACCACCCUAAUUCUGAGUAUCAUUUCUCCUCCAGAACCAAUUCAAAAACUGCUCUCCAGGACUGAGGUGAGGCGUAAAUGAUUGUUCACCCCAUUUCUGUUCACGUCAACAGAACUGCAGCAAUGCAGAUGCCAGAACAAUCUGCUUUUUGUGCUUUCCUAGUGAUGAGUUGCCUUCCAUGCAAGUUAAAUUGUAUGAAAGUGAGCUGAAUGUUUCACUAAACCCUUAGUUUGUGUCUGAGCAAGACAGGGCAACAGAGGUUACAACUGAGGAGAAGAGAGUUAGCUCUCCCUUCCCCUGCUGUGAUUCACCACCACCACCACCACCAAAAACACCCCCUUUUGUUGGCAUCCAUCUGUCUCGAGAGACAAUGGAGUGUGCCCUCAGAGAUGAAGUCAAAUCCCCGUGUUGGCAGCACCAAAGUGACUUCCCCAUUGCAGAAGCCAGGACAGUGUGCAGGGAGGUCCUCAGCUGAUGUGGUCCAAAGGAUAGCAGAGCCAUGCGUUUGGUUCCAGCUUGGCUGCAGGAGUUGCCGAAAGGAGGUGUAAAAGGCGCCAUCCAACUGCCUUAGGGACUCCACUCUGGAUUUGCGUAGGGUUUACUCCUUAGCCUUUUCUUCUCUUGAAGACUACUUGCAAGGCAGCAGAGCUUUUGGGUCAGUUUUCCUUCUCUUAGAUGGGCUACGUUCCCAGGUUUACCCCACUUCCCUCUACAGCACGUGCAGAAAACACCUUCUUGGCCAUUGGACCCAUGACUGGUCUCGUCUGCUCAAUCUACUGGAAGAUGUCUUCACAUGCAGAGGAAAUGCCUAACUCACUGAGGGUUUGAGAUCUAUUGGCUACCCUUACCAGUCAAAGCCAUUCCCCGGGGUGUGACGCGGUUGCACGCUGACAGCUUCUAGGAGCCACAGGCGAGAGCUGAGUGCAGGGUAGGGACCAAAGGUGGACAAACUACCCCAGAAGAAGCAUGACAUGUCCCAUCUACUGUAACACCCCAUACACCCCAAAACACUCCUGAACAUACCAUGAUCAGAAAUGGAAAUCUCUGCAGUGCAAUUUA